rnacentral:rRNA from 1 species
UGAACCAGCGGAGGGAUCAUUACCGAGUGUAAAAACUCCCAAACCAU